rnacentral:misc_RNA from 1 species
GUAGGUGAACCUGCGGAGGGAUCAUUGAAGAGUUAGGGCCCUCGCGGUCCGACCUCCAACCCUUUGUAUUAUCAACUCUGUUGCCUCGGGGGCGACCCAGGUGCCGUCCGCGGCGUUGGGCCCCCAGGGGACCACUAAACUCUGCGUCUCUGCGUCUGAGUACUUUUGUAAAUAAAACAAAACUUUCAACAACGGAUCUCUUGGUUCUG